UACGGGGGGGGCAAGCGUUGUUCGGAAUUACUGGGCGUAAAGGGCUCGUAGGCGGCCAACUAAGUCAGACGUGAAAUUCCUCGGCUUAACCGGGGAACUGCAUCUGAUACUGGAUGGCUUGAGUUCGGGAGAGGGAUGCGGAAUUCCAGGUGUAGCGGUGAAAUGCGUAGAUAUCGGGAGGAACACCAAUGGCGAAGGCAGCUCGCUGGGACGGUACUGACGCUGAGACGCGAAAGCGUGGGGAGCAAACAGG
rnacentral:rRNA from 1 species